CAAGACUGCAUGGGAGAGAUCGGCCAGAAGGCCGGCGCCGACGGAGCAACCCCCCAGGAAACUCUCAGGCACCAGUGACCGUGCAGUUGAA
rfam:Shinella sp. HZN7 plasmid pShin-08, complete sequence.